rnacentral:rRNA from 1 species
UAGGUAGCGCCUCGUGAAUUCAUCUCCGGGGGUAGAGCACUGUUUCGGCAAGGGGGUCAUCCCGACUUACCAACCCGAUGCAAACUGCGAAUACCGGAGAAUGUUAUCACGGGAGACACACGGCGGGUGCUAACGUCCGUCGUGAAGAGGGAAACAACCCAGACCGCCAGCUAAGGUCCCAAAGUCAUGGUUAAGUGGGAAACGAUGUGGGAAGGCCCAGACAGCCAGGAUGUUGGCUUAGAAGCAGCCAUCAUUUAAAGAAAGCGUAAUAGCUCACUGGUCGAGUCGGCCUGCGCGGAAGAUGUAACGGGGCUAAACCAUGCACCGAAGCUGCGGCAGCGACGCUGAUGCGUUGUUGGGUAGGGGAGCGUUCUGUAAGCCUGCGAAGGUGUGCUGUGAGGCAUGCUGGAGGUAUCAGAAGUGCGAAUGCUGACAUAAGUAACGAUAAAGCGGGUGAAAAGCCCGCUCGCCGGAAGACCAAGGGUUCCUGUCCAACGUUAAUCGGGGCAGGGUGAGUCGACCCCUAAGGCGAGGCCGAAAGGCGUAGUCGAUGGGAAACAGGUUAAUAUUCCUGUACUUGGUGUUACUGCGAAGGGGGGACGGAGAAGGCUAUGUUGGCCGGGCGACGGUUGUCCCGGUUUAAGCGUGUAGGCUGGUUUUCCAGGCAAAUCCGGAAAAUCAAGGCUGAGGCGUGAUGACGAGGCACUACGGUGCUGAAGCAACAAAUGCCCUGCUUCCAGGAAAAGCCUCUAAGCAUCAGGUAACAUCAAAUCGUACCCCAAACCGACACAGGUGGUCAGGUAGAGAAUACCAAGGCGCUUGAGAGAACUCGGGUGAAGGAACUAGGCAAAAUGGUGCCGUAACUUCGGGAGAAGGCACGCUGAUAUGUAGGUGAAGUCCCUCGCGGAUGGAGCUGAAAUCAGUCGAAGAUACCAGCUGGCUGCAACUGUUUAUUAAAAACACAGCACUGUGCAAACACGAAAGUGGACGUAUACGGUGUGACGCCUGCCCGGUGCCGGAAGGUUAAUUGAUGGGGUCAGCGCAAGCGAAGCUCUUGAUCGAAGCCCCGGUAAACGGCGGCCGUAACUAUAACGGUCCUAAGGUAGCGAAAUUCCUUGUCGGGUAAGUUCCGACCUGCACGAAUGGCGUAAUGAUGGCCAGGCUGUCUCCACCCGAGACUCAGUGAAAUUGAACUCGCUGUGAAGAUGCAGUGUACCCGCGGCAAGACGGAAAGACCCCGUGAACCUUUACUAUAGCUUGACACUGAACAUUGAGCCUUGAUGUGUAGGAUAGGUGGGAGGCUUUGAAGUGUGGACGCCAGUCUGCAUGGAGCCGACCUUGAAAUACCACCCUUUAAUGUUUGAUGUUCUAACGUUGACCCGUAAUCCGGGUUGCGGACAGUGUCUGGUGGGUAGUUUGACUGGGGCGGUCUCCUCCUAAAGAGUAACGGAGGAGCACGAAGGUUGGCUAAUCCUGGUCGGACAUCAGGAGGUUAGUGCAAUGGCAUAAGCCAGCUUGACUGCGAGCGUGACGGCGCGAGCAGGUGCGAAAGCAGGUCAUAGUGAUCCGGUGGUUCUGAAUGGAAGGGCCAUCGCUCAACGGAUAAAAGGUACUCCGGGGAUAACAGGCUGAUACCGCCCAAGAGUUCAUAUCGACGGCGGUGUUUGGCACC